rnacentral:tRNA from 1 species
AAGACUAUAGUCAAUUUAUGACAUAUGAGUUGCAUUCAUAAAGAGUUCUUACUUGAACUAGUUUU